GACGAACGCUGGCGGCGUGCCUAAUACAUGCAAGUAGAACGCUGAAGGAGGAGCUUGCUUCUCUGGAUGAGUUGCGAACGGGUGAGUAACGCGUAGGUAACCUGCCUGGUAGCGGGGGAUAACUAUUGGAAACGAUAGCUAAUACCGCAUAAUAGCAGUUGUUGCAUGACAACUGUUUGAAAGGUGCAAUUGCAUCACUACCAGAUGGACCUGCGUUGUAUUAGCUAGUUGGUGAGGUAACGGCCCACCAAGGCGACGAUGGGUAGCCGGCCUGAGAGGGUGAACGGCCACAUUGGAACUGAGAAACGGUCCAAACUCCUACGGGAGGCAGCAGUGGGGAAUAUUGCACAAUGGAGGGAACUCUGAUGCAGCGACGCCGCGUGAACGAAGAAGGCUUUCGAGUCGUAAAGUUCUUUUAUAUGGGAAGAUAAUGACGGUACCAUAAGAAAAAGCCCCGGCUAACUACGUGCCAGCAGCCGCGGUAAUACGUAGGGGGCUAGCGUUGUCCGGAAUCACUGGGCGUAAAGGGCUCGCAGGCGGAAAUGCAAGUCAGAUGUAAAAGGCAGUAGCUUAACUACUGUAAGCAUUUGAAACUGCAUAUCUUGAGAAGAGUAGAGGUAAGUGGAAUUUUUAGUGUAGCGGUGAAAUGCGUAGAUAUUAAAAAGAAUACCGGUGGCGAAGGCGACUUACUGGGCUCAUUCUGACGCUGAGGAACGAAAGCGUGGGUAGCAAACAGGAUUAGAUACCCUGGUAGUCCACGCUGUAAACGAUGAGUGCUAGGUGUCGGCUUAAGUCGGUGCCGCAGUUAACACAAUAAGCACUCCGCCUGGGGAGUACGUGCGCAAGCAUGAAACUCAAAGGAAUUGACGGGGACCCGCACAAGCAGCGGAGCAUGUGGUUUAAUUCGAAGCAACGCGAAGAACCUUACCAGGGCUUGACAUACUGAGGACCGGUAUAGAGAUAUACCCUCUUCUUCGGAGGCCUCAAUACAGGUGGUGCAUGGUUGUCGUCAGCUCGUGUCGUGAGAUGUUGGGUUAAGUCCCGCAACGAGCGCAACCCUUAUCUUUAGUUGCCAGCAUUUCGGAUGGGAACUCUAAAGAGACUGCCGAUGAUAAAUCGGAGGAAGGUGGGGAUGACGUCAAAUCAUCAUGCCCUAUAUGCCCUGGGCUACACACGUGCUACAAUGGAAGGUACAAAGGGAAGCAAGAUAGCGAUAUUAAGCAAACCUCAAAAAGCCUUUCUCAGUUCGGAUUGUACUCUGCAACUCGAGUACAUGAAGAUGGAGUUGCUAGUAAUCGCAGAUCAGAAUGCUGCGGUGAAUGCGUUCCCGGGUCU
rnacentral:rRNA from 1 species